rnacentral:rRNA from 1 species
UACAGAGGUCUCAAGCGUUGUUCGGAUUCAUUGGGCGUAAAGGGUGCGUAGGCGGCGCGGUAAGUCGGGUGUGAAAUUUCGAGGCUUAACUUCGAAACUGCAUUCGAUACUGCCGUGCUUGAGGACUGGAGAGGAGACUGGAAUUUACGGUGUAGCGGUGAAAUGCGUAGAUAUCGUAAGGAAGACCAGUGGCGAAGGCGACUUCCUGGCCUGUUCUUGACGCUGAGGCGCGAAAGCUAGGGUAGCAAACGGG